ensembl:snRNA U12 U12 minor spliceosomal RNA
AUGCCUUAAACUAAUGAGUAAGGAAAAUAACGAGCCGGGGUGACGCCUGGUUCCUCACUACUCAUGUGAGAAGAAUUUUUGAGCGGGCACAGGUUGCCCCCAGGAGGAUCCGCCUACCUUGUGGGACCUCCGGGUGUAGUGAUCUGCCCG